UUUAUAUAGUUUAUCCCAAAACAUUACAUUUUCACUGUAAAAAUAUUUUAAUGAUUAUAAAUAU
rnacentral:tRNA from 1 species